GUGGUGAGGAGUGGCAACGUUACGAGACGAUGGCUUUGCUGCCUGACAUUAAAUCAGCUUCCUCAAAACCACCAUCCCAAUGCUUCGACUACAGCGCAAACACAUGCUGGGGACACAAAAGGCCCCUGCCUCUGUGCAGGAGUGGAGUGUCCUUUACCUGCCGGGAGAAGGGGACAAAAAGCAAAAUGAACAAAGAGAUGGAUAUGGACGACAAAUAAGCUGAGCCCAAUUACCUGGAGAGGCGACCAUUUCGCUGCCUGUUGGAGAGCCAGCGUGAGAUCCAGAGUUUGGGUGAGCGGGAGAAUGAGUCCAGCAGCGGAGAGCAGCAAAGCCCCCACGCCACCACAGCAGCCCUGCCUCACAUAUGGCACCGCAGAUCAUAUAUAGA